rnacentral:rRNA from 1 species
CAGGAUGAACGCUAGCUACAGGCUUAACACAUGCAAGUCGAGGGGCAGCAUUGGGAUAGCUUGCUAUUCAGAUGGCGACCGGCGCACGGGUGAGUAACGCGUAUCCAACCUUCCUGCAGUAGGGAACAGCCCGGCGAAAGUCGGAUUAAUGCCCUAUGUUCUUCAAUGCGGACAUCUAAGUUGAAGGAAAGAUUCAUCGCUGGCAGAUGGGGAUGCGUCCGAUUAGCUUGCCGGCGGGGUAACGGCCCACCGGGGCGACGAUCGGUAGGGGUUCUGAGAGGAAGGUCCCCCACACUGGUACUGAGACACGGACCAGACUCCUACGGGAGGCAGCAGUGAGGAAUAUUGGUCAAUGGGCGUAAGCCUGAACCAGCCAAGUAGCGUGCAGGAAUGACGGCCCUACGGGUUGUAAACUGCUUUUAUGCGGGGAUAAAGUGCGGCACGUGUGCCGCUUUGCAGGUACCGCAUGAAUAAGGACCGGCUAAUUCCGUGCCAGCAGCUGC